rnacentral:rRNA from 1 species
GUGUCAGCAGCCGCGGUAAGACGAACCGUGCGAACGUUGUUCGGAUUCACUGGGCUUAAAGGGCGCGUAGGCGGCUUGCCAAGUCAGGGGUGAAAUCUUUCGGCUCAACCGGAAAACGGCCCCUGAUACUGGCGGGCUGGAGGAGGGUAGGGGCAGAUGGAACUUCCGGUGGAGCGGUGAAAUGCGUAGAUAUCGGAAGGAACGCCGGUGGCGAAAGCGAUCUGCUGGACCCUUUCUGACGCUGAUGCGCGAAAGCCAGGGGAGCAAACGGGAUUAGAUACCCCGGUAGUCC